CGAACGGGUGAGUAACACGUGGGCAAUCUGCCCUGCACUCUGGGACAAGCCCUGGAAACGGGGUCUAAUACCGGAUACUGACCCUCGCAGGCAUCUGCGAGGUUCGAAAGCUCCGGCGGUGCAGGAUGAGCCCGCGGCCUAUCAGCUAGUUGGUGAGGUAAUGGCUCACCAAGGCGACGACGGGUAGCCGGCCUGAGAGGGCGACCGGCCACACUGGGACUGAGACACGGCCCAGACUCCUACGGGAGGCAGCAGUGGGGAAUAUUGCACAAUGGGCGAAAGCCUGAUGCAGCGACGCCGCGUGAGGGAUGACGGCCUUCGGGUUGU
rnacentral:rRNA from 1 species